UUAAUAACUGGGUCAUUUUGAUUUAAAGAACGAAUUAGUAAUGAUUUAGAAUUCACACUGCGCGAUCAGAACCUGCUAGUUGUGACUUAUCCGGCUACCUUUGCGAAACCAGUCGGAGCGAGAGCAAGUCAUGGUUGCUAUGGGUUUGCCCAUUAGCACAACCCCUGCUGGAAAAGGCGGUCUUCACCGGGCCUACCUGAUCAGUUAAAUUAAUGGUGUGUUAAUAACAACGAUGGCGCCGCCGACCGUACACUAAACCAACAACGACAUAAUGCUCGAGAAGGUUAUGAUGAUUUAAAGUUAGUCCAAUUUUAGAAGGUAGAAGCAAGUUUUUUAUCAAUCAAAUUUGUCUACAUCCGAAUUACUGAUAUAUGGAAGAUAUUACCCACUACACUGUAAAUAACGAUCCGGCUCCGAUGGACCAUUUUGGAGUUACAAUUCCUCCACUGGAAACAGGUUUCUACUCUUAUUUCUCAGGGAUUAAGACAUAAGUUAGAAUAUCAACAUAGCUACUCCAUUUGUCCACUAUGCUUACAGUUGUUAGACGCAAAAACUAAAUUGUAUAAGGGUUUUGAUAACAAUAAAAAUUUGGAUUGAUA